UACAGAGGGUGCGAGCGUUGAUCGGAUUUACUGGGCGUAGAGCGUGCGUAGGCGGCUUUUUAAGUCGGACGUGAAAUCCCUGAGCUUAACUUAGGAAUUGCAUUCGAUACUGGGAAGCUAGAGUAUGGGAGAGGAUGGUAGAAUUCCAGGUGUAGCGGUGAAAUGCGUAGAGAUAUGGAGGAAUACCGAUGGCGAAGGCAGCCAUCUGGCCUAAUACUGACGCUGAGGUACGAAAGCAUGGGGAGCAAACAGG
rnacentral:rRNA from 1 species